rnacentral:lncRNA from 1 species
GCUAAAAAAUUGAGUAAGCCCUUAGGGCUCUUCCUUAGGGUUUCAAUUGUCUUCAAAGACAAUUACUCUUAUUUGCAUGCUUUUGCUAUUUUGAUCACUUUAGUCCAGUGAGAUCGGCAUUUAACUUUUCCUUAAUGUUAAAUAUUUGCUCUCCCAUACAAUUUAUUUAAAUGCUUUCCUUAGCUGCUAACUAUUAUUUUAAUAAUUGCGUAUUCAUAUGAUUACCUUGCAUGUUUUUUUUGUUUUUGUUUUUUUAUAUGACCCAGGAAACCUCGUACAUCGGCAGCGCGGCGGGGCAAACUGUGGGGCCGCACGAGGGAACCACCAUCCCGUGACAGCGAUGCCAAGCGCCUCCGCUAGGUUUCGAACCCUUUACAUUUGAGGAAAGGAUUAGCAGGGCAUUAUCUUGCGGAGCCACCGCGGCGGGUGAUAUUACCUCGCAUGUUAGUAGAUAAGUGUAAAAUCAAUCCAAACUGUCUGACAAAAAUCUUUUCUUUUAAAAUGAACAAGAUUAGGUAUCGAAAUGGCACUAAUUGAUCAAUUAGUGUAAUCAAGUCCCCGAACUUAUAUUCUCUGGUUGCGUAAGAAGUGAGGUAUA